UACGAACCGUCCAAACGUUAUUCGGAUUCAUUGGGCUUAAAGGGUACGUAGGCGGCGCCGUCAGUCGGACGUGAAAGCCCUCGGCUUAACCGAGGAACUGCGUCCGAUACUGGAUGGCUUGAGGUUGGGAGAGGGAUGCGGAAUUCCAGGUGUAGCGGUGAAAUGCGUAGAUAUCUGGAGGAACACCGGUGGCGAAGGCGGCAUCCUGGACCAAUUCUGACGCUGAGUGAGCGAAAGCCAGGGGAGCAAACGGG
rnacentral:rRNA from 1 species